GGGUCAGCAGAACUGCUACCUUGGACUUCUGAAAGGCAGACCUUGGCCUGUUUAGGAGCCUGGU
rnacentral:miRNA from 12 species